rnacentral:rRNA from 1 species
CAGCUCCACUAGCGUAUAUUAAAGUUGUUGCAGUUAAAAAGCUCGUAGUUGAACUUCUGGCUGUGACUUGAGUCGGUAUUUAUAUCGCUCUAGCCGGCAGUCAUCCGUCUGCAACUUUUACAUCCUUAACUGGUUUGUCUAAGGGAGCAGGCAUUUUACUUUGAAAAAAUUAGAGUGUUUAAGGCAGGCCGCAAGCCUGA